GAACCACAGUUUGUUCCUUCCUGAAUACAUUCUGCAACUGAAGGAGCAGAAACUGAAGAAGCAGACUGUGCAAUCAUCAUACUCGUGUAAGGAGAGAGGGACGAAGAAUACGGACUCAUUCAUAUCUGAAAGGGGAAUAUCCUACACUUUGGACAGUAUGAGGGAGGAGCCUACCACAAAGCAAGAAGUGGGGAACACCCAUGGAGUACUAUCAGUAAGAAAAAAUUGCUCUUCUGACCAGUUUAGCUAAUCUGAAAUGGUGUUCCUCUGAAGCUGUGCCCUUGCAUUGCAAAAACCAGAGACUGGAAGUUACAGACGAAUGCUUGGACAAGACAGCCUGGAUCAGCAUGUAAAGUUACAGCUUUACCAGGAAGUCUUACACUCCCAUCUCUCCUUCAAAAUCUGGCUUCGUUUCACACACACGGCUCUGUGUAUUCUGUCAUUAAUUAAAAUACCUGUGUUCUGUCUCAUUGCUCUUUACCAUUCUGCUGGCAUUUGUGUCAAUGCCAGUGUUUUUAACAAUGGUUUUGUGUGUAAUCAUGAAUGAAAUCAAGUAAGCGAUGAUCUGUGAGAAAGUUCUUGUAGAAGCACAACCCAGUCAGCCCCACUAAUAACCCAUGCCCAAGCAUUUUAGAUCAAUCCUUAAAACUACUUAAAAUGUGCUCUACUACUAGGGUGCUGUUUUAACCUUUUGCAA